GCAUGGAUAAGUGGGUAUAGACAACAUCAGCCUUAACCAUUAGCAGCACAACUACAGAUUGUUCACGAUAACCUGAGCCACUCUAAAUAUAAGCUUUAUCAAAAAGGAAAGUGUAAAGGAUAGUUUUGAAAGUAGACAGGGUCUCUUCUACUCUUAUAAACUUCAGGAACCACCAGUGAGCCUGCAGUCUGAGAAUAAAGUGCUCGGUUAGGAACUUAUGGAACAAUCAGAUCUCUGAUGUAUGAUGGGCUUUAUAUGUAAAUUAUAUUUUAAAUUAAAAUUUCUGGAUUUCUGGCAUAAUAAAUAGGGCUGAAUUGUGUUAAGUUAACUGAAGAAAUGAAAAAAGCAUGAUUCUUAAGGUGCUGCCUGCUUUGUCCAGAAUUGGAGCAGACAUCUUCAAUUCCAACUCUGCAGUGAUAAGCAAACUGCAGGUAUCCUGAAAUGUGUUUAUUUGCUUACUGAAGUGUGUCUACAGUAGUCUCUUCAAAACACAUUGUUGCUACAGGUACACAUUAUAAAAAGUAAAAAUGCACCAGCAUAAAACAACUAAAACCAGAGGGAAUAAUCCUCCAAAAUAUGCAAAGCCUCAACUAGAAAAAUGAGGAAUAAACAUUUUUUGAAAGAUUUAAUCAUAUGUAAUAGAGCUACUCUGACAAGUUGCCACCUUGAGCUGCACAAAUCUAGAAUUCGUCAAUAUAUGUGAAUGAUUUAUGUUUGCUUUCAAAACAUCUGAAGUGUAUUUUAUUUGCUGAUACUAUUUUUUUGCAAGGCAGACCAGGUUUCCAGAAAACAAAAUUAAAUUAAAUUUUGACUUACUGUGAUGAAGUCUGGGCAAACAUGUACAAGAACAAUAUUAAUGCAAUAUUUUUAGUGCAAAAAACUUGUAAAAACAAAUAAAUAAAAACCUGACAGAAUCAACCCACCCUUUAUUUUUUUCAGUUAAAAACAUUUUAAUUUAAUGAUUUGGUAGUUCUUAAAACUAUGCGAACUGUGUACAAAGCACAUAAAAAAACAUAUCCUUAAAUAUCCAGAGGCUGUUCAAAAUUUGGGAUCCUAAAUAUUAAUUGCUUGGAAAGUAUUUCUUUGAAAAUAACUAAGGGUUAGAAAACAGUCAAAAUGUAAGUGUGUUACUAAAAAUUCAGUACUGUGUCUGAUGGUUUGUUGCAUUAACAACUAAACAAAACAUUAAGUUUUAAUCAAGAACUCUUUAGGUCUUUCCUGGUGUGUCCAUUAAGAGAUUGAAGCACUGGUAGGUGGUCAAAUAAGCUUAAAUUUUUGCACAAUCUUUUUGGUUUUUGCUGCUUUUGUCAUAGUUCUUGCCUUCAUUAUGUUUAAAGGCAUUUUUUCUAGUUUUACUGUGAGUAUGUUUUAAUUUCUUGUUUAGUAAUAAUGAAAUGUGCCAAAAAAAAAAUAAAUUUAAUUAAUUCACAUAGUCUCAUAAGUAGAAAUAUUAAAAACAACAUUUAGGAAAAUCAAUAAUUUCAUUGUGGCAAUAUUUUAUGCAAUUAAGUAAUUAAAUAUUUAGUGCGCUUGAAGGUUAUAAACUAAUUUCAUAUAUUGUAUGCCUCAUUUAAGUUUAAGUAACUUGUCAAGGUCACCACCUCUAGGUGGCAGCAUAACUUGUUCAAUGAAAAGAGCAAAGAGGAAAUAUUAUAUGAUGAGCACUAUUACAAUGCACUGCAGCAAGAUAAUCUCGAUCAUUGAUGUGUGCUUUUAUGCACACUGAUCCUUUCUGUAGGUGUUCUGGUAGUUUUCUCAACAUAUGCAAGCCCACAUGGGCAACAAAUCAUACAUGUCACAUGUGUGAAUGCACCACACUGAAAUAGUUAUUAUUCUUUUUUCACCAACUGAAAAAAAGAAUAAGGUUAGUUUUUAAUGCAAAAUCAAAGAUGUGCUUGAGAUUCGGUUCUAUGUUUUCGCUCACUUUUAGAUUUUUCACAAAAUUAUUUGUUAGACUACUUUCAGACCAGUUUUAAUUGAGCUAAACCUUGGACCAAAUAUGUAGGUCAAAGCCAGGGGUGCCCAAAUCCAGACCCCGAGAGCUACAGUCCUGCAACCUUUUGAUGCGUUCCUGCUCCACCACACCUGAAUAAAAUGACUGGCUUGUUACCAGGCCUCACAGAACUGAGUGACUGAAUGCUGAGGAAGGAAUUCAGCCAUUUGAUUCAGGUGUGUUGGAGCAAAAAUACAUCUAAAGGUUGCAGGGUAGUAGCUCUUGAGGAUUGGAUGUGGGCACCCUUGGUCUAAGCCAUGACUACAAAUAGACAAAUCAGUGACUCAUGUCUCAAUAAGGUCUUUAAAUAACUUGUAUAUUGAAAUCAGGUCUAUUGCUCAUUGGCGGCCUCAAAGUCUAGUAGCUGUCUUUUAACCAAACAACCGCAGAGUAUAUUCAAAGGGGCCCUCUUGCGUUAAACGCACAACAACUGAGUAAAGGCUGAGCUAAUUUGCAGACAGAGCAUGGUGCCUCGUGUUUAUUUAAACAGUUACAAGUUUGGCUUUGUACAUAUUUCAUGUGCCCUUAAUUUUUCAAAGCGCUCUCUUUGAUGGAUGAGACCAUGCAUUAAUUUAAGAAUGUAGUCUAAACAUAGACUUUACAUAUUUGAUACUUUACAUGUUACCUGCAAUUUUACUUUUCAUAAAUCCAACUGCACUUUUGUGCUAAAGAAUUUUUUUUGUUAUAAUGAUAAAUGAUGAGACAAUAACAUGGAUUUCACAAUUAAAGUAAUUGUAAUAUUCUAAUCUUAAAUACCAUGUUUAAUUAGCUGUAGGUGGAACAUUAUCAUAAUUAACAGAAAUACAUGCUUGAAAACAUUUGUAAUUUAAUUACUUAAUUUGUUUCACUAUGUGAAUUGAGUUACUGAAUUAAAUGAACUUUCAGUAAUUCUCAAAUUUUUUUUUAAUAUGACUACAUGUUACUUUAACUGACUGUUCUAAAUUGCCCUUAGAUGUUAGUAUAUGGUUCAUUGUCCUCUAAUGAACUGGAAACCUGUCCAGGGCUGACACCUUGUCUCUGCUGAGUCAAGCAUGAAUAAGCUGGUAUAUAUGAUGGAUAACAAUCAUGGGACACAUGGUGGUGAAAUUGGUAGCAUUGUUGCCAUGUAGCAAGAAAUUAUUGGGUUUAAAUUCCUUCCAGGGCCUAUCUGGAUGGCUCUGCACGUGUGGGUUCUCCAGUUUCCUCCCACAGUCCAAAAAUAUGCAUCUUAGUUCAGAUGCUUACUUUUAGUUGCCCUCAGUAGUAAGUUGCUGACUUGAUGCAAUCUGCUGGGUAUCCUUAGGUAGAAAACCUUUUUAACUAAUUUGAAAAAUAAACUGAUACUGACUGAACUUUUUGAUAAUUAGGAUCAAUUACAAUGUAAGUACCUGACUUGAAAUCUGUAUGAUUCGAUUGACUUAACUUUGUAAAGUGCCUUGAUACGACAUGUGUUGUGAAUUGGUGCUAAAUAAAUAAACUGAAUUGAAUUGAAUUAAAUUAAGUGUAUAUCUGUGAUGGACCAGUGAUCUGGCAAGGGUGUACCAUACCCAUUGACAACUGGAGACAAGCACCAGCAGAUAGAUGGAUAAAAACAAAUUUUAACCCAAAUGCUACUUAGUUUAGUAAUGCAGGUUAUGUUUUAUUCUCAUCAACCCAGUCUUUGGUAGCCUUAAUGUUAGACAUUAGUCACUUUCGCCCAUUUUUCCCAUUCAAAGCCAAACUCAUUAUGCUGGGUCAGACCAAUAACUCACCCCUGUACUGUUGAUUCAGCCCAUAUUUAUUCCAGAAAUGUUCAAAUCCUAGCCUGAGGUCUUUUUCACCGUGUUAGUAUGUUCUCCCUGCUUGGAUGGGCUACCAGGUACACUGAGUUUCUUCUACAUUCCAAGAAUAUGCAUGCUAGGUUAAUUAGUCAAUCAAAUUUGGCUUUAGGUGAGUGCAUAGUUGUUUGUUCUGUGUGUCUGUGUUGCCAUUGGCGAUCGGUGCUUGCGACCUGUUCAGAGGAGUGUACCUCAUUCCUCUGCGACCUUGUAAGAAAAAGUAGGUAAAGAUUUCACAUAGUGGAUAUCUGUAUUACUUUUAUUCAGUUUUUAUCCUGAUUUUAUUGUUUGUGAUUUGUAUAUCCAGUUCUGACAAAAAAUUUUGUGGCAUUAUCUUAGACAUUCUAAACUGAAAAUCUUGAUUGCAUGGUUUUUAAUGCUUUUUGCAUUAGGUUGUUUUAAUCCACUUUAGCCUUGCUGCCAGUGAACAAUUUGGUUAAGGACAGUCACCUGUUGAGGUGUGGGUGUGCCCUGGAGUCAACUGCAAAACAGACAGGCCAGGGACGCUGGCUGAAAUGUUAAAAUGUGCAGGACACAGAGUGUCUCAGAGAAACAGGGAGGAAAGAUGCAAGGGAUGGAAAGAGGACCCAGAAGCCAUCCCAAGAGGCAAGGCCCGGCUGUCAUGAGGUACAGGUGCAUGUUGGUGUAGCUGGUUGCCUUUCAGCAAGAAGGUCCUGGUUUCAAUUCCCAGGAGUAGUCCCUCCGCAUCCAGUUUGCAUGUUCUCUCUGUUCAUUUGUGGGUUCUCUCCGGAUAUUUCACCAGUCAUAAAUCGUGGUUGUGGAAGCACCAAACACACACAAGAUCAUCACAAUGAAAUUUUUGUUCAGAAAAAGAUAAUUCAAACUCUAAGCAGUGUCGUUCAAUCCAUCAUCCAGAAAUGGAAAGAGGAUGGCACAACUGUAAAUCUACCGAGACAUGGCCGUCCAUCUAAACAGACUGGCCAGGAAAAAAUUGUAUCAUCAGACAAACAGCCAAAAGGCCCACAAUAAUUCUGGAGGAGCUGCAGAAAUUCGCAGCUCAGGUGGAGAAAUCUGUUGAGAGGGUAGUUAUUAGUCAUGCAUGCCACAAAUGUGGUCAUAUAGAAGUGUGGCAAGAAGACAGCCAUGAUUGAAAGAAAGCUAUGAGAAGUUGAGUUUGCCGUUCACCAAAGCCUUGUGGGUGAUACAGCAAACACGGGAAAAAGAUGCUCUCGUCAGAUGACCCUGUGUGAGGCAGAAAACUAAAACACAACAUCCUGAACACACCAUCCUCAAUGUGAAACGGGGGUGGCAGCAUCAUCCUGUGGGUUUACUUUUCCCUAGUAGAGACCUGGAAGCUAAGAAGUUGAUAGGAUGAUGGAAGUAGCUAAAUGUAGGGCAAUCCUUAAAAUAAACCUGUUAGAGGCUACAAACGACUGGGUCAGAGGUUCACCUUCCAGCCUGGUGCACCUACAACAUGUUAUGCGAACAUCAGGGUCUCUAGGAUGUUUUAUAGCUUUUCUUUAGCAGGAACGAAUUAACAUGACUGAUAUACUUCCAUUUGUAUGUUGUAAUUUAAGAAAAUCCUUUAUCAGAUUUACAAGCUGCAUAUGCACUGGCAUAUUGUGCCAGUUCAUGUGCUGUCAUAUGAGUUUACUAUUUGUUACGUCAGCUUUUACAGGGAUGGUGAUGGAAGCUUUUGGUGCAAUGAAUGUUAGCUGUAAAAAAAAAAAAAUAGGGGGCAAUCUUCUGUCUCAAUUUCUCCAAUAAACAUCGUUGUUUGAAGUAAACAUCUAAGGAACCAGUAACCCAGGAGCCUUUCUUUUACAAGUUGUCUUGUGAACUUGAUGUUUAUGCCUGACUUUCUUUCAAUAUCUAGUAAUGGUUUAAAUUUUACGUUUCUAUGAUAUACUGUAGUCUAAGCAUCACAAUAAGAUUAGGAGCAGAUAUUUUCCAGCUAAAUGUCAAUAAUAAAAACAAUAUACUGCUUGGUACACAAAACAAGAGUUUUCUGUGUGCUAAGUUGUGUAUCAGGGCAGAAACACCUUGAGCUAUAAAAGUGAGCAGAAAGAUUAUUUUUUCCAUCUGAUCUCAGUGCUGUAAUGUUUUCUCUGCAGCUACACAGUAAAUGUUUUUAACAAUCAUUUAUUAGGUGUCUGCAUCCAAUGCAGUGAGCUUUACCUUAAAAUGCUGCUAACAUCUUUAUUGCUGAUGUAAAACAUCAGCUGUCGGUUUAUGAAUUUAGUGUUUCCUUGCGUUGUCAUGUUUCUGUAUAUGAAAAUCGUUUGCAUAAACAUGAUCCUUUAAUUGUCAUAGCAGCACUGGAGUAUAUCCAGUUUAUUAGAUAAUAUGCAAAAUGCAAUUACUUAGCCAUUUCCAAAUCUGUGACUGAAUGAGAAUCUCAUUGUUAUUUUCUCUUAUUUUCUGAUUGUAAGACAAUAGACCCAACACAUUCUUGCUAGUGCAAAAAAAAAUAUAUAGAUUAAUGAAUAGCAUUACAAGCAUCUGGAAUACCUUGACUGAUUGUUUAGAUAAUCCUUCUGGAAGGGUAAUGAAAUGAAAUAAAAAACAUCUUUCAUUAGAACAUUGUUAAACAUUCAUGCACAGUCUGAUAAAUGAUAUUUGUGCUUUCAUAUCCUCUGUCAUGUGACCAAAUGUUAUUUAUUAGUUGUAGACAUAAAAUGUGAAAAACUCAUUAAUCAGGCAUUAAUCAGCAAGUUUUUUUGUAUGUGUGAUCUUACUGCCAUCUAUUGAUACUGCAGUAAUAACAUGCAGUUUUCUUCCUACAUCAAAGCUUUCCCACUAAAUAUUCUGUCUCAGAAUGUAAGAUGUGCAAAAUCAGUACUGACAGAUGAGAAAAUGUUCCUUUAAAUAGAGUUUCUGCUCAUUGCUGAGGGCAAGUGGCCUCACUUCGUCACAGCGUUGAAAUUGAUUUCAUUGCUGCUUUCACCAGAUGGCGCUGCUGGCAUUGUAGAGUGUAUGGACAAGAUGCGGCUUGAUGUUUUAAUAGGGGCUUCAGCGGUAUGGUUUUAGUUUUUUUUAACAUGUGGUGGUCAUCUGGUUAAUCAUCAUCAGUUGACGUUAUUCUUUGGAUGUGUUAUUGCUGUGUUUAGAUUAAAAAAAAAAGUUGUUAAUUUUUUAACAAUGACAGGAGAAUGUUUGGAUAAUUUCCAGGAACAUUCGGGUUUUUUCCUUAAACUUGCAGGUCUAAUUUCUUAAACUUACUGGUUAUUUUUCUGGAACUUCCACAGAAUGUUCUGGUUACUUUUUGAGCUCUUGCUGAAUCCUCUCCUGGAACGUACUGUUACUCUCCAGAGCGUUCACAGAAGUUGCUGGUUACGUUUGUGGAACUUACUGGGUAAUCCCCUGGAACUUUGCCUAAAUAUACUGGGUAUUUUACUAGAACUGACUGGUUCCUUUUCCAGCAUUUUUUCAAGAACUUACUGAGGACUUUCCAUUGCUUUCCAGAGCUUAGUUAUUGCUUUCUAGAACUCUCACAGAAGUUGAUAGUUAUCUUCCCAGAGAUUGUUCUCUGAAAACAUUUUAUUUGGUAAGGACAUAUCACCCGUAUGGGAUAGCAAAGCCUGGAUUUGACACUUAACUCUAAAAACAUUAACUUACUUGUGACUGAAAACGAUGGCUUGCUCACUUCUUGACAAUACUUCAGUUGGGCUUGAAUUUAAUCACUUUAAAAACGCACCUGUUUAGAUAUCCAGCAGGGAGGACUUUCAGCUCAGGAACAGAUUUAGGCUGUGGCCUAAAAUAAAUUUUACAUAUUAAAAAAAAAAAAACCAGUAACUGCAGAAAAGCAGACUUGCCAGACACCAAUAGGUAAAAAUGUCCUAACACGUGGAGAAAAGCAUAGCAAAGAAAAAACCUUUAAAAACAAACAAAAAAUGUAAAUCAUGCCAUCAAAAAAAAACCACAAACUAGAAAACAGAACUUAACAUUUUUUAAGCAUCAAGACCCAGUUGCACAGUAAAGUUCAGUGGCCACCGUGUUAUGCUGUAGUGGUGUUUGUCAGUGGCACAGCCUGAAAAUGUUAUUAUAAUUGAAGGAAUGUCCUUAUUUCAUAAAACUUGAGGAAAUCCUCUUUAAGUCUCCCACAGAACUAAAUGGUGCACUCUCAUUACAGACUAGAACAGAGUCCCCAUGAAACUGGAAGCAAAUACAUCUACUAAAAUGGUUCACAAAGAACUGAAAACUGUCCUAACUUUUAUGGGGUUCACCAUGGAGGCUUCUACACUGCUCAAAAAAAUAAAGGGAACACUUAAACAACACAAUAUAACUCCAAGUAAAUCAAACUUCUGUGAAAUCAAACUGUGCACUUAGGAACAACACUGA